GUUUAAACCAUUUAAUGAGAGGUUGUGUGUGUGUGUGUAUUUUACUUGGUGAUGUUGCUGAAGAAAUCGUAUGAAACCUCACUGCAAGCAAGCUGUUUAGUGAGAUCUCUCCUGUUUCUUAAGACGUGUUUUGAAACUCUAGAUAAGGGCAUUAGAAUGGCUCAGUAGUGCUUAUUUACAGCAGUUUUCCACAUGUAUUAAGCUUUGAUAUACCAUUUUGUGGAGUUUUAAAUAUAGGUCUUAAAUGCAUCGUUCCAAAAUUCUCCUCAAAUCGUCUUCUUUGCUUUAGGGCCGGACCCUGUGUACUUAGACCAUUUGUCUACAUUCAGGUCAUUGGUAACCUGGAACUGUGUAUUCAGUAAAUAACCUUUUGAAUGGCAAAACUCAGUCUGACUGAUAAAAUAGAAUUCUAAACUUCAAUCCAUCACAGAGCCGAUUUAGAAAUACUAAUUAUCAAUUUCACUGGAAAAGAUGUCAAUAUCCAAAUAGGUAAUUUAUUCAGAAUGUAGCACUGAUGUGGGACUUGGAUCAAAUGUGUCCUUUCUCUAGUUACGGAAAUCUUACAAUUGUAACUUCUUUAAAAGUUUUACAUCAUGAACAGGGAGGAGGUUUGGGUUUUUUUUACCAGCUCCAAUUAAAAUACAUAGGAAUAGAAUACUUAACAGUGAAAAUCUACAGUCUUGGAGAAAUAUGAUUUACAUAGUAUCAUAGAAUACUUAGGGUUGGAAAGGUCCAUUUUCCUUAACAUUUUCUGUAGGUGAUGCAUGGUUAAGACAGAAAGUCAUUCAUGAGUUAGCUUUUGCAUGUGUUCAUGCUUUUUUAAGGCUUUGGCUGUAUUCAUUGUGUUGUCCUGUCUUACUCUUAAAUACUUUGAAUUCUAGCAUGAAAUUUUAAAAGUUGAUUAAUGAUAUAUAUCUAUAUAGUAAUUCUGGAAACUAUGUAUUUCUAUCAGCUUGGGAGGUAUUGUUCAUGUUUAUUUUUUUUCUUUUAUCAGUGUAGUGCACCCUAAUGAUAAGUGGGAAUGUAUGCUUUUCUGGCUUGAGGUUUACACAUACAUUUAGAGAUUCUUCUAAAAAAUAACUGGUUUCUAUGUUAGAGACGACUAAAAGACUUUGAUCAAGUUACCUGUUUUCCAAAGUGAGCUUUAGUUGAUAUCAGACUUGUCAUUGUCUUGCAGUUUUAGUAACAUUGCUUGAGUAGCAAAGUCCUAUUUAAACAAAUUAUACAUAUCUACAUGCAUAAGUUCUUUUUUUCUCUUACUUGCUCCUACUCAACUGUUUGAAGCUAGUUCUUGUUAGCAGCUUUCAAGUUUAAUUUCUAAAAGUAUAUUUAAUGCAUAAAAAAAAUUCCUCUCAGGGUUCCACCUUAUUGCACAUAAUUUCAUUUUAGUGCUACUUCCUAGUGCUCACAACUGAGCUUAAUAAAGCAUACUAUUUUACAAUGAGUUGCCACUGAAAUGCUGAUGCUUGCUUUAUUCCAGAAGUGGAACAGCAAAUUUUUCCAUUAAGUAAUAAGCUAAGCUUUCGCUUCCUUCAGUUGUCUUAUCUUCAUUAGCUUAGUUAAACAAUGACAUUGUGAAAGGCCACAGAAAUAAAGCUCUAACAUGUCUCUGUUGAUAGUUUGACCUUUUUGUCCAAAGCCUCAAUAAUGUUUUAGAUCAUCUACUUAAUAAACCUAGAAAAUUAGAACUCCAUAUAUAACCUUUGGUAAUCUGCAAACCGAUUUACUAGCUGCUUCUCCACCACAGAGCCCAUGCUAAAGCAUCUUGCUGUCUCUACCUUUGUAAGCUUAUAAUAAAAACUAAUCUAUGCAAAUACAUAAUAACUGCAGAGAGUGUUUCUGCUGGUUUUGUACUCAUUUAGAAAUAAAGUUGACUAAGAAUGUAGGGAAUGGAUUUUUCCAUUUUAUCCAGCUCUCCCUAGUCACUUUCUGUGUUCAGGUCUCCCCUGUGUUAUAUGGGAUACCUUAUCCUGGGGGGAAUGUGAGGCGACUAUGCCAGUUCUCUUGAUUUGUUUGACAUACAUGUUAAAGAGGAAUUUAAUCUUCUGCUAUGUAACCCAAGCUCUCACAGAAUGCCUCACUCCUUAAAGAGAAAUGCAACGUGUAUUCCCUAAUAGGAGCACAAGAUGAAUUGAGUAGAUUCUUGAUGGUUUUAUGACCUGUGUCCAGUAUUCUAAUAAAA